AGAGUUUGAUUCUGGCUCAGAACGAACGCUGGCGGCGUGGAUAAGACAUGCAAGUUGAGCGAUGAACGGAUAAUAGCAAUAUUUGAUGGGAUUAGCAGCGAACGGGUGAGUAACACGUAGGAAUCUGCCCCAAAGCUCAGGAUAGCCUGGUGAAAGCCAGGGUAAUACGGAAUGUGAUCUUCGGAUUAAAGACUUCGGUCACUUUGGGAUGAGCCUGCGUUCCAUCAGCUUGUUGGUAGGGUAAAAGCCUACCAAGGCAAUGACGGAUAGCUGGUCUGAGAGGACGGUCAGCCACACUGGAACUGAGACACGGUCCAGACACCUACGGGUGGCAGCAGUCGAGAAUCAUUCACAAUGGGCGAAAGCCUGAUGGUGCGACGCCGCGUGGGGGAUGAAGGCCCUAGGGUCGUAAACCCCUGUCGGUUGCGAGUAAGGCCCUACUUACGUAGGGAUUGAUAUUAGCAACAAAGGAAGGGACGGCUAACUCCGUGCCAGCAGCCGCGGUAAUACGGAGGUCCCAAGCGUUGUUCGGAUUUACUGGGCGUAAAGCGUGCGUAGGCGGCGAGAUAAGUUUGGCGUGAAAUCCCCGGGCCUAACCCGGAAAAUGCGCUGAAAACUAUCUCACUAGAGGAUUGGAGGGGAGACUGGAAUUCCUGGUGUAGCAGUGAAAUGCGUAGAUAUCAGGAGGAACACCGGUGGCGAAGGCGAGUCUCUGGACAAUUCCUGACGCUGAGGUACGAAGGCCAGGGUAGCGAAAAGGAUUAGAUACCCUUGUAGUCCUGGCAGUAAACGGUGUGCACUUGCUGUAGGAGGAUUCGACCCCUUCUGUGGCGAAGCUAACGCGUUAAGUGCACCGCCUGGGGAGUACGGCCGCAAGGUUAAAACUCAAAGAAAUUGACGGGGGCCUGCACAAGCGGUGGAGCAUGUGGCUUAAUUCGAUGCAACGCGAAGAACCUUACCUGGGCUUGACAUGUAUGUCGUAGUCCCGUGAAAGCGGGACGUCAGCUCGGCUGGACAUAUACAGGUGCUGCAUGGCUGUCGUCAGCUCGUGUCGUGAGAUGUUGGGUUAAGUCCCGCAACGAGCGCAACCCUCACUU
rnacentral:rRNA from 1 species